rnacentral:rRNA from 1 species
GAUCAUGCUCAGGACGAACGCUGGCGGCGUGCCUAAUACAUGCAAGUCGAGCGAAGUUUUUCUGGUGCUUGCACCGGAAAAACUUAGCGGCGAACGGGUGAGUAACACGUAAAGAACCUGCCUCAUAGACUGGGACAACUAUUGGAAACGAUAGCUAAUACCGGAUAACAGCAUUAACCGCAUGGUUGAUGUUUAAAAGUUGGUUUUGCUAACACUAUGAGAUGGCUUUGCGGUGCAUUAG